ensembl:lncRNA
UUUUUUUUUUUUUUUUUUUUUCCUCAGGGAGGCUGAAGGGAUGUAUCCACUGGAAUAGUUGGGGGUAGGAUUUGAGUUAAAGGUUGUUUCCUGGGCUGGAUGGGCUGCAGUGCUGGCUGGCUCUAGGUGAUGGUUCUCAUGCUUUCACGUUUGCUUGUUUCAAAAAAACAUCCUUCAACAGCAAAGAACCAAACUUUUUUUUCUGCCUUAAAUGAAAACUCUGUAGGAGAAAGGCCUACUUCUGCAGAAGUAAAUGUUUGAACAGAAAGAAACUCUAACACUGUAGAUCCUCCUUUCUCUAUAUUUAAUUUUCCAAGGCCAAUCUUGACGGUUAAGAGAUUGAUAGUGAAAAGAGAAUCACCACAAAUAAAUACAGGCUGAGUCAAAAACUCUUGCGCACCUCCCUUUAGAUGCUAAUGAACAGUAUCAAAACUACCUAAAAUGGAAAUAAAAAGUCCUUCAACUAUACGUAAUAUUGAAAAUGACAUAGCUCUCUGUCUUAACUCAUUGGAAAAGAGACCAGAAAAUUAUUCAGAGUCUCUAAUGUAGGUGCACAGAAGUUUUUUUUUUUUUUCAUUUUUAAAAAUGAAGAAAAAUUUAACUAGGUAUUAUAAAUAUAAUAUGUAGAUUAUAAUUUGACUCGCUCUUUUCAUGUCAAAUGAGAUGAAUUUUUUUUUGGCUUUUUGCUUUAUAGGGCCGCAUCUGUGGCCUACAGAGGUUCCCAGGCUGGCAGUUGAAUAGGCGCUACAGCUGCCGGCCUACGCCACAGCCACAGCCACAUCAGAUCCGAGCCGUUUCUGCAACCUACACUACAGCUCACAGCAUUGCUGGAUCCUUAACGCACUGAUCGAGGCCAGGGAUCGAACCCACAACCUCAUGGUUCCUAGUUGGAUUCACAUCCGCUGCACCACGACGGGAACUCCCGAGAUGAAUUUUUUAAUAUUGAGGUAUAAAUGACAUAUAACACUAUAUUAGUUUUAAGUGUGCUUCAUCCUAAAGCUUUAAGUAGAGAGGGAGAGAGCCACAAAACUAUUGUCACACUGUCCUGGGUAAAAGUUGGACCAGCUCACCCUCCCACCAGCAGCACAUGACACUGCUGUUCCCACCCCAUUGGUUGAGGGGGAGGCCAUGUAGGGCUGGGCCCUGCAAAGUGACAGGGAGGUCAGGCAGGCCUGGGGUGGUGGAGCACUGUGCGCCCUUUGCCCCCACUGGGCUGGGUGGCUGACGGGGUAGGCUGGGUGCUAUUGCAAUCACAGGCAACAGGAAACGUGGGCAGAGUGCCCUCGAAGCUGAGUCCACAAGGGGGACACAACCCCUCAUCUCACAGACCCUCCUGUUCAGCUCCAAAGAGCUCUAAAAAGAGGUAACUGCACCCCCUUACACCUUCCCAGCAAGUGGUCCCCACAGGGCGUGACGGGGUUUGUGGGAAAACUCAGGCCUCAGAGCAUGAGCUGGGAAAGUUGACCAAAAGGAGCUGAGCCCAUGUACAGAAAUGGCCGUCUUGCAACUUCCUCUCAUGGUUGAGACACUGGGAGAGGCUCCUUGGGCCCCUCAGAACUCCCCAAGCUCUGGUCAGAGCCCUGGGCGGGCUCUUUACUGCAUUAGGACAGCCAACAAAUAUCUGCUCGGGGCCUCUAUGGGCCAGGCGACCACACGGGCAAAAAUCCCUGUCCUUCUGGAAUUGUUCUGGUGCAGGAAAGGCAGGGGAUACAUACUGAGAGUAGGCGAGCAGGUAGCAGGUGCUCUAGGCAAGGAGACUGCCCAGCAGGGAAUCCCAGACCGGUGGGGGGGCAGUUUGCAGCAGGAAGAGGGUGGACGGGACCGGCCUCCCAGAGAGGGAGACACAUGAACGAGCCUCGGGAACAAGGGAAGGAGCCAGCUAGGCAGCCACCUGGGAGAAGAGCUCCGGGGGACCAGUGUGAACUGAGCCAGCGGGAGGAGGGAGGCGCUGGUCUGUGUGGCGUGUCCUGUCACACCUUGGGUGUUGCGUGGAAUUUGGUUUUGACUCAGGGAGAACAAGAGCCCCGUGGCCAAGUUCAUUUGCUUAUUCAUACUUGAAGUUGGGGCCGUUACCAACACAGACGAGGCUUAUUCCAGGUUUGCAGGAGACCCCAGUGGUACCCAAGGCGAGCGCUCAUAAGGUGCUGUGGGGCCAGAACAACGCCCACCCCUGAAAGGACCCGGCCUGGGUCAAGCCCUGUGGUCGGUCAGUCGGUCAUCAACCUGCAUUAACUCUUUCUGCCUCCCGUGAUCCUGUGAAUUUACUCUCAGUGCCAUUUUACAGACAAGGGAAACGGGGCUCUUGUGCCCCAGGUCACACAGCUGGCCGGGUCGGGGGUGGGGGCGACUGCUUCUCUGAGUGGCCCUGGGGUGUGUGCUUCUGUGCUGACUCUCCCAUGGGCGUUUCCCUACCUACAAUUUUUCCUUGGCUCUGGCUUCUUCACGGGCUGAAAUCCAAAGCCCUGAGGCCUGUGCCGAACCCCCACCCCCACUCCCGACGCCCCGAGAGACCGGCCAGCCUUUCCACCCUCAUUCCCAGAACCUCUUUCUCAAUCUCCCACGGCCUUUGCUCACAGUCCCACCCCCCUCCACACCCUAAGGCCUUGUGUCUUUCAAGGGUUCGCCUCCUCCAGGCUGUCCCCCAGACACCUCGUUCCCUGUUCACCUCCAUCUCUCCCCAGCCCUUCUGAGUCUGUCCUUACACUCAACACCAGCUCCUGCGGCCCCCCAGCACCAGCCCCAGGGGCCAGGAGGCACAAAUUCCCUGAGCAGCCUGAUCUACUCCGUGCCCUGAAUCCCAGCCUCCCCACUCACACCCGUGUCUCCUGCUGACCAGGCCUGCAGAUGGGGAGCUCACCUCCCGGCCACAUCACUCAGCCUCCGGCACCUCAAACCCACCGCCACCCACAGCGACUUCCUCCUGCUCACCACGGGCAGCACCCCCCUGCUCGCUCACUGAGGCCAGGAGCCGCUUCCCCCCACCCAGGCCCCCUCUUCUGUGGAGGCCCGGACACCAUCCUCUUCUGGCUCGGUACCACUGGAUCCUUCCCCACAACUGGCUGAGUAGCCUCUGGGCCAGCUCCUCCCCCCCUACCCCCAAGCUCAGCUGCCUCAAUUCUAUAGAGGGGUCACAAGGCCUAGCCCCAGUGUUGUACAGAGGCGAGAAAGAAAAAAAUCAGUGCCAGCCUUCCCCUUGUACACAGCAGGGUUUCAAUGAGUGCACGUUUCCCUCAAUGGCCUCCACAAAUGCUCCCUGAGCCUUGCGGAAGUUAGGAGUAUGGCUCCAGAGACCUCGAUCUGAAUCCUGUUCCUGCCUUUUGUUCACUGCGUGGCCAAGGACGCACUGAGGGCCUCAGUGUCCUCAUCUGCAAGAUGGGGGCAAUGGCAGGACUCCCUGCACGGGGCUGUGAGAAUCUGAGUGGACAGCACGUGAGAUCCUGGCGUGUGAUGUGCAUGCCUGGCAACCCUCAGGAGGAGGAAGCCUCGGCCCUGUCCCGGGGGGGCUCAGGAUCUCUGCAGCCCUCAGCUCCUCCAGCUCCUACCCCCUGGCCUCUCCGAAGCCUCCUUGGAAAAACCGAGGAACAUGAGGAGCCGGGAAGCGGGUGCAGGAGAGCCUUGAGAUGGCAGCAGCCCACCCUCUCGGGCCCUGCCCACACUUCCCUCCACCCCCACCCCCUGCCCUGAGCAAUCAGCUCGUGGGAGGGGAAAGCCAGACUGGGAAAGGGGGCCCCAUCUGAGCAGGGACCCUGCCAUCGGAUGAGGGCCCCUUUGCAAAGAAGGAAAAGUGACCAUUACUGGGCUCUGGUCAGGAGCCCGGCACACUGGAUCUUUAUGAUAGGCUCUGGGACAGGAAUCACCUCAGUUUCACAGAUGACAAAGGAGACUCAGAGCAGGUACUGACCCUGCUCCAAGGCACCAAGCAGAAAGGGCCAGAAUCAGGGCAGGGCCAGGCUUAUCUUCCUCCAAAGCCUGUGCUCUCAGCCCAAAGCUGCCCCAGUGUGUAUGCCCGGAGCCGGUGGGACGGGGGUCUCUGUGACUGGAUAGGAGUGGGAGGGUCCUGAGGGGGCCUGUGAGUGAGGAGCGGGCCUGAUUUCCAGGCCGUGGGGCCCAAGGCCAGUUUGAAGCUGCCGAGGGGUCCCAGGCUGGUAUGAGGGGGCAGCCUGGGGUGCAGGAGUAGGAGACACGGAGCCGGAAGGAGUUAACUGCCUAAGGGCCCUGAGUGAAUCAGAGGCUCCACAGGCUAAGAUGGAAAUUCCCUGUGCAUGGCGUGUGGUCACCCAGAAAAGGGAAACGGUGCUUUUCGGAGCAGAGGACGGCGGGGGCUCGAGCCCGGGAGCAGAUGCCUGCCUGGGUGGGGCUGGCGAGGGUGUCGUGACCAAGGAGGCCUGGUGUCCAGAUCUGCUCAGGCCCAGGGUGGGAAGAGGGAGGUGAGGAGCCAUCAGGCCAGGCCAGGUCCAGUUGUGCUAUGGUGUGUCCAUGGACCCUGACAGAUGGGUAGGAGUUCACUGCCCCCAGAGGAAGGAAGGGCCCUGGACUUGGACCGUGGGAACCACUAGCACCAAAGCACAGGGGCGUGACUCAGCAUGGAGAGCCCAUCCCCCACUGCUUUUUCUGGGGAACUCUUUCCUAUCCCAUCCCAAGUGGCACCCUCCUCGCCCUAGGAAGCCCUUGUCACUUCUUCUUGGUGUCCCACAGCCUCAGUUUCCCUCUCGGAGUUCUCAGGAUAACAUAACUCAUCUGCCUCCUCCCCAGAACCAUGGCAGCAGCCUCAUCCUAGCUCUAGAGACACCCUGCACCUAGCCUGGGGCUGGCAUCGAGCCGGUGCUCUGUGUUUGCGGAGUGACAACUUGCAGAAGAGGAUUCUGAGGCUCAGAGAAGUUAGGUGAAAUGCAGCCACUGACUACGACUGAAGGGGGCCUGGGCCAGGGCUUUGCCUCAGCUGGAACUUGAUGGGAGGCGAGGAACAGGACAGGCAGAGCCUUCCCGGGGGCCAGGAAUGGGGCACUGGGCACUGACGACCCCAUCUGGCAACCCCGCUGUCCGAGGCCUACUUCCCCUUGAGCUUCAGGCCACCCCACUCCUGUCUUGUCACAGUGCUGGGAAACCUCUGUCCUCCCGGAUGGGAGACUGGGGUGCCAGAUGGAGCAAGAGAGGGCAACUGGGUGUCAGGAAAUCUGGAACCUCAGUCCAGACCCUUUCCAUCCAGCUGGGUAGCCUUGAACACGUGACUUCCCCUCUGAGCCCCAGUGUCCACUUUAUGAUGGAGAUAAUGGCAUAGGCUGAUCUAGAGACAGAACCGACUGACAGGAACAGUCACCCUGUGCGCCAACGUGAGGGAGUUGAUCAUUUAUCAGAAAUCGGUAUUACUUAAGUUGGCUGUUAUCUCUGCCUGGAACAGCACCAUCCUGCCUGCCAGGUCCUAAGCGACGUGUGUCGUGGCCUCGGCCCCAGGGUCUGUCUGUCCCAGCUCAAUUCUGCCCUGCACCAGGGCCCGUGACUCAGACCAGCCCACCCAGUGGGCCCAACCCCAACUCAGAGAGUGAUGACCAGGGCCUCCUGCCCAGAAAGAUGCCCCUUGAAGGCCCCAGGUGCCCCAAGUGCCACCACAGUACCCCAGAUUCCUUGGGCCCCCAGAGAAGCUGCCCUUGGGCAGUGUCAUGGUGGCCAUUGGUGCUGGAGCUUUUCCAGGCACGAAGGGGAACUGAGAGCUGUGGGAAUCUGCCUUGGGCAGGCCAGAGUGGGCUGGGCUCGGGUGGGAGGGGGCCGCUCUAGGAGCCCAGACUGAUGGGGUCCUGGAGGUGAGUAGGUGAAAGGGACCCCCCCACACCCCCUGCUCCAGACAAGCAGCUGUGGGGCUGGGGGUCACUCGAGGUGCUGGCAGCUUGUCCAGAGAAAGCUGGCCGGGCAGUGGGAGGUUGGGGAGCUGUGUGGGGAAGGAAAGAGGAAGCCAUGAGGGAGGGGGAGGGGGCCGCAGGGGAUGGAGUGGGAGUGGGGGCUGGGGGCCUGGAGCCACUUUGGCCGCAGCCACUUCACUUCUCCCGGUUUCGGUUUGUAAAUAGCUGCUGGCUCCGUGCAGGCGGGAUGGGCCCUGCCCCUUCUGUGGCCUGUGUCCAGGAAGGUCCAGGUCUGAGCGGCUGCAGAUGCUCAAACCCUGGAUUUGAGGACCCUAGCAGGCACCAAGGCUGGCCCAGCUUUGGCCUGGGGGGACAGGUUCUGGUGGGCCUGGGUCUGGACAGCCCCAACCUGUGGUCACUGAGGUAAUGCAGCUGGGGCAGAACUUGAUGACUUGGCCACACUGGGCUUAUUUAUAACUGGGCCUCCUUGGGCAGAAGCAGCUGCUGAGCCGCCAACUCAGCACUUGGGCUGACCCAAGGCACCAAGGCACCAAGGCAGAAGAUGGGAUGGUGGGGGCCAGGCAGGCCUGAUG